UCGCUAAGUGGCCCAUGGAAAAAAAUAAUUUUUUUUUAGAUUUAUAAAAUUCUAUUAUAAUGUUUUCAACUUACUUUGAUUACUUUUCGUGUCGUAAUGUAAUGAACACAAUUUCAAGAAUUAACUUUACUUUUACUGGUCGCACAAUGAGUCUCCUGGUGGAAGAUGCUGAAUUUAUAAGUGGUUGAACUUGGCAAUUUUCAGGACAUGGUUGAACACAGAAGUUACCAGAGGAAUAGAUCCUAAAACACUAUUACUAAAACGGAAGAAUGUUUACCAGGACGUUAGUGAUUACCAGUGUACAAGGAUAGAAUGGACCACUUUGCAACCAGGAGCGCACAAGACCAGAAGAACGUUUGUUAUAUUCAGAUAAGUUUGUUACUUACUAAGAUAGAUCACUUUGCUAAGUAGGAUGGACCACUUUACCACCACCAGGAGCACACGACCAGGAGAACGUUAUGUUGAUAAGUAUCUUACUUGCUAAGAUAGAUCAUAAGAUAUUAGUUUUUUGCGAUCAUUUUCUAUAUUAUUUUGUUAUAUUAAGAUAUGUAUCUUACUUGCAUGC